UUGGAGGGCAAGUCUGGUGCCAGCAGCCGCGGUAAUUCCAGCUCCAAUAGCGUAUAUUAAAGUUGUUGCAGUUAAAAAGCUCGUAGUUGAAUUUCGGGGUCAGUAGGUUGGUCAUGCCACUGGUAUGCACUGGUCUCACUGAUUCCUCCUUCCUGAUGAACCGUAAUGCCAUUAAUUUGGUGUUGCGGGGAAUCUGGACUGUUACUUUGAAAAAAUUGGAGUGUUUAAAGCAGGCUAACGCUUGAAUACAUUAGCAUGGAAUAAUGAAAUAGGACGAUCGAUCCUAUUUUGUUGGUUUCUAGGAUUGACGUAAUGAUUAAUAGGGAUAGUUGGGGGCAUUAGUAUUCAAUUGUCAGAGGUGAAAUUCUUGGAUUUAUUGAAGACUAACUACUGCGAAAGCAUUUGCCAAGGAUGUUUUCAUUAAUCAAGAACGAAAGUUAGGGGAUCGAAGACGAUCAGAUACCGUCGUAGUCUUAACCAUAAACUAUGCCGACUAGGGAUCGGAUGAUGUUAAUUUUUUAAUGACUCAUUCGGCGCCUUACGGGAAA
rnacentral:rRNA from 1 species